UGCAAAUAAAUGGUACUUUUAGUCUGAAAGCUUAAGUACAGCUAACAUACUGUUUGACUGACACAUGUCAUUGACCUUGGGUGUUAGAUGCCAGGAAAUGGCACCUGUUGAAGUAGUCGAGGUGGGACAGGCCUUUCCAGGUGAGCUAUGUAAUUCAACCCUAAAGCAGCCUUCCUUUUCCCACAGCAGCUAUGAAUCGACACUUUAGCAGAGCUAAUGGCUCACUCCAGCCCUUUCACAGGCAGCCUAUUGUGCUCUGAAGCGAGCACAGAGGGAGGGGGGUAUGGUGUAAUCCUGAACGUGCCCUGGAUCAGUCUGUUUGAAUUUCACACCGACAUUGAUGUGCAUGUCCGUCCUCACUGAAGGUCCUCUAUGUGCACCGUUCCCAAGAAGACACAGCACAGGAUCACAUAACUAUCACUGCCCCUACCUCGCUGUGUCUGGUUACCCCUGUCAGGAGCAGCGCCAGCUGUUGUGCGUAGUACUCAGGGCAGACUGGUGAGAUGGCAGCAGUGUGGCACCAGGCGAGCAGAGAGCAUAUGGCCUGGAUGGCGUGACACAGCACACGGAACAGGAUGCGAUACUGCCGUCUCCCCUCCGGGACUGUCACCACGAGGAGCAGCCCUCCAGACACAGAUCCAAAACUACAUCAGAUCAAACUGUAUUUGUGAGCUGAGUGCCUAGGGGAGACUUGUCUUCUGAGGUGUAGCUUGGCAAAUCGCCUUGUGUACGGGGGGAAAAAGGAAAAAAUGAGAGCAGCUCUUCCAUAAACACCCCCCUCAGGCUUUCUCCGAGCACUUUUCCAUUCCAUAAGCAACAAAUUAUCAAGGUUUUUGUUGUUUCUGCACGCAAAUUGUUUGUACACUUCAACUCCAUUUUGAAGGGAUGUGUGUGCAUUCAAGCACGUUUUUCUUUUUUUUUUUCCACUUUGCUAGGUGGUUGGAAAAUGUCAAAGUCGGAUCCAAAUCUAGCAAUUCAUUGAAUUAGACAAACUCAAGCCCACACCAAUGACACUGAAAUAAAUUUAUAUAAUGACACAAGUUUAUGCCUCGCUGUUGUA
rnacentral:lncRNA from 1 species